UCCCAGCCCCCAAAGCCCCAGAUCCCGGAACCCAUGAGUGCGCCUCGCAGGCGCCGCGCCCGCACAUCGCCGGCGGCGGUACCCCCGCCGGAUGAUGACGACCUCCUCCGGGAGAUCCUCCUCCGCCUCCCCACGCAGCCCUCCUCCCUCCUCCGUGCCUCUCUCGUCUGCAAGCGCUGGCUCGGCCUCGUCAAAGACCCCCGCUUCCUCCGCCGCUUCCGCGCACACCACGGCAAGCCCCCUCUCCUUGGCUUCUUCAUCGACGACUACGAGGACAACUAUCCCUUUGUUUCCACCCUAAAGCCGCCAGAUCGCAUCAGCGCCGACCGCUUCACCUCUCCAAUCGAACAGGGCGACCACCAUUUCUACUUACUCGACUGCCGCCACGGCCUCGUCCUUCUCGUCAACGAAGAGCGGCGUCAAUUACUGAUCUGGGAUCCCGUCACCGAUGAACAGUGCCGCGUGUCGAUUCCCCCAUUACAUAGCAACAAUGGCGAGGAGCUGCCAGUACACAAAGGGACGGUACGUUGCAUCAACCGAGACCUAGGUCACGUACACGGCCAUUGCCAUUCAGGCCCCUUCCAGGUCGCCCUGGUUGUUGGCCCUGAUGGACGUUACUACAGGGAUGGACGUUACUACAGGGAGUUCGCCUGCGUUUACUCAUCGGCGACCAGCACAUGGAGUCAUCCCGUCUCAACAGAAUUUCUCUCUCAGGUUACCAGCAUAUCUGAACAUAUGAAACGCCAUCAGUCUCUUAUGACCUUGGUUGGGGAUUCUCUUUACUGGUUGGUUUAUCUGAUUUAUUCGUGUUGCAUCAUUGAGUAUGAUUUCGUCAGGCACAGCCUAGCUGUCAUAAAGCUGCCUCCAGAUGUCAAUGCCCACAGUGAUUGGAUCUUCACCCUGAUGCCAGCCGAGGAUGGUGGGCUUGGCUUGAUCAUUGUGUCAAAAUUCCGUGCCCAAUUAUGGAAAAGGGAGGCUGGUUGUGAUGGUGCUGCUAUAUGGGUCCCAGGAAGAAUUAUCAAACUGGGCAAGCUAAGAUCCCCUGCCAGGAGACAGCCUCUCUGUAUAGUUGGGUUUGCCGACGACAACAAUGUGAUGUUGGUAUGGACAGUUAGCGGUGUCUUCAUGGUUGAUAUCCAGUCUACAAAGAUUGAGAAGCUAUGUAAUAACUCUGACCAGCAAGUCUUUCCUCAGCUCUUUUAUCCACUUGCAAGUUUCUAUGGUGCAGGCAAAAGCACCGCUUGUAGAAAUGAUGGAGAUGAAAUGUAGCAAGAUACACCAACCAAUUCUGGUUAGAUGUGCUAACAUGUUGUACUAGUUUAACAGCACUGAAUUUCCAAAAUCUUCUUUGGGUUGCUAUGAUGCAGAAAGGGCCUCUCUGGUGAAGGAUCUACAUUUUGUGUUGUGGCAUGUCAUGUGGUUCAUAUGGAACUAGACCCAUCUAUAUAGUAUGCAGUAUCAUGUAGUAGUCAACUACAGAUUGCAAUUGUUGGAACCGUCGUUUCUAACUUGUGGUGUUAUAUCUGUGAUUCCCCGUGGAACUUAUUUGAAAUGAACUUGUUAGAUUAAUGUGUUACUGUUGACUCUUGAAAUUGAUUUGUGCCCCUUUUC